rnacentral:rRNA from 1 species
UUAAGCGACUAAGCGUACACGGUGGAUGCCCUGGCAGUCAGAGGCGAUGAAGGACGUGCUAAUCUGCGAUAAGCGUCGGUGAGGUGAUAUGAACCGUUAUAACCGGCGAUUUCCGAAUGGGGAAACCCAGUGUGUUUCGACACACUAUCAUUAACUGAAUCCAUAGGUUAAUGAGGCGAACCGGGGGAACUGAAACAUCUAAGUACCCCGAGGAAAAGAAAUCAACCGAGAUUCCCCCAGUAGCGGCGAGCGAACGGGGAGGAGCCCAGAGCCUGAAUCAGUGUGUGUGUUAGUGGAAGCGUCUGGAAAGGCGCGCGAUACAGGGUGACAGCCCCGUACACAAAAAUGCACAUACUGUGAGCUCGAUGAGUAGGGCGGGACACGUGAUAUCCUGUCUGAAUAUGGGGGGACCAUCCUCCAAGGCUAAAUACUCCUGACUGACCGAUAGUGAACCAGUACCGUGAGGGAAAGGCGAAAAGAACCCCGGCGAGGGGAGUGAAAAAGAACCUGAAACCGUGUACGUACAAGCAGUGGGAGCCUCUUAAUGGGGUGACUGCGUACCUUUUGUAUAAUGGGUCAGCGACUUAUAUUCUGUAGCAAGGUUAACCGAAUAGGGGAGCCGAAGGGAAACCGAGUCUUAACUGGGCGUUAAGUUGCAGGGUAUAGACCCGAAACCCGGUGAUCUAGCCAUGGGCAGGUUGAAGGUUGGGUAACACUAACUGGAGGACCGAACCGACUAAUGUUGAAAAAUUAGCGGAUGACUUGUGGCUGGGGGUGAAAGGCCAAUCAAACCGGGAGAUAGCUGGUUCUCCCCGAAAGCUAUUUAGGUAGCGCCUCGUGAAUUCAUCUCCGGGGGUAGAGCACUGUUUCGGCAAGGGGGUCAUCCCGACUUACCAACCCGAUGCAAACUGCGAAUACCGGAGAAUGUUAUCACGGGAGACACACGGCGGGUGCUAACGUCCGUCGUGAAGAGGGAAACAACCCAGACCGCCAGCUAAGGUCCCAAAGUCAUGGUUAAGUGGGAAACGAUGUGGGAAGGCCCAGACAGCCAGGAUGUUGGCUUAGAAGCAGCCAUCAUUUAAAGAAAGCGUAAUAGCUCACUGGUCGAGUCGGCCUGCGCGGAAGAUGUAACGGGGCUAAACCAUGCACCGAAGCUGCGGCAGCGACGCUUAUGCGUUGUUGGGUAGGGGAGCGUUCUGUAAGCCUGCGAAGGUGUGCUGUGAGGCAUGCUGGAGGUAUCAGAAGUGCGAAUGCUGACAUAAGUAACGAUAAAGCGGGUGAAAAGCCCGCUCGCCGGAAGACCAAGGGUUCCUGUCCAACGUUAAUCGGGGCAGGGUGAGUCGACCCCUAAGGCGAGGCCGAAAGGCGUAGUCGAUGGGAAACAGGUUAAUAUUCCUGUACUUGGUGUUACUGCGAAGGGGGGACGGAGAAGGCUAUGUUGGCCGGGCGACGGUUGUCCCGGUUUAAGCGUGUAGGCUGGUUUUCCAGGCAAAUCCGGAAAACCAAGGCUGAGGCGUGAUGACGAGGCACUACGGUGCUGAAGCGACAAAUGCCCUGCUUCCAGGAAAAGCCUCUAAGCAUCAGGUAACAUCAAAUCGUACCCCAAACCGACACAGGUGGUCAGGUAGAGAAUACCAAGGCGCUUGAGAGAACUCGGGUGAAGGAACUAGGCAAAAUGGUGCCGUAACUUCGGGAGAAGGCACGCUGAUAUGUAGGUGAAGCGACUUGCUCGUGGAGCUGAAAUCAGUCGAAGAUACCAGCUGGCUGCAACUGUUUAUUAAAAACACAGCACUGUGCAAACACGAAAGUGGACGUAUACGGUGUGACGCCUGCCCGGUGCCGGAAGGUUAAUUGAUGGGGUUAGCGGCAACGCGAAGCUCUUGAUCGAAGCCCCGGUAAACGGCGGCCGUAACUAUAACGGUCCUAAGGUAGCGAAAUUCCUUGUCGGGUAAGUUCCGACCUGCACGAAUGGCGUAAUGAUGGCCAGGCUGUCUCCACCCGAGACUCAGUGAAAUUGAACUCGCUGUGAAGAUGCAGUGUACCCGCGGCAAGACGGAAAGACCCCGUGAACCUUUACUAUAGCUUGACACUGAACAUUGAGCCUUGAUGUGUAGGAUAGGUGGGAGGCUUUGAAGUGUGGACGCCAGUCUGCAUGGAGCCGACCUUGAAAUACCACCCUUUAAUGUUUGAUGUUCUAACGUUGGCCCCUAAUCGGGGUUGCGGACAGUGUCUGGUGGGUAGUUUGACUGGGGCGGUCUCCUCCUAAAGAGUAACGGAGGAGCACGAAGGUUGGCUAAUCCUGGUCGGACAUCAGGAGGUUAGUGCAAUGGCAUAAGCCAGCUUGACUGCGAGCGUGACGGCGCGAGCAGGUGCGAAAGCAGGUCAUAGUGAUCCGGUGGUUCUGAAUGGAAGGGCCAUCGCUCAACGGAUAAAAGGUACUCCGGGGAUAACAGGCUGAUACCGCCCAAGAGUUCAUAUCGACGGCGGUGUUUGGCACCUCGAUGUCGGCUCAUCACAUCCUGGGGCUGAAGUAGGUCCCAAGGGUAUGGCUGUUCGCCAUUUAAAGUGGUACGCGAGCUGGGUUUAGAACGUCGUGAGACAGUUCGGUCCCUAUCUGCCGUGGGCGCUGGAGAACUGAGGGGGGCUGCUCCUAGUACGAGAGGACCGGAGUGGACGCAUCACUGGUGUUCGGGUUGUCAUGCCAAUGGCACUGCCCGGUAGCUAAAUGCGGAAGAGAUAAGUGCUGAAAGCAUCUAAGCACGAAACUUGCCCCGAGAUGAGUUCUCCCUGAGACUUAGAGUCUCCUGAAGGAACGUUGAAGACGACGACGUUGAUAGGCCGGGUGUGUAAGCGCAGCGAUGCGUUGAGCUAACCGGUACUAAUGAACCGUGAGGCUUAACCUU